rnacentral:rRNA from 1 species
UACAGAGGUCUCAAGCGUUGUUCGGAUUCAUUGGGCGUAAAGGGUGCGUAGGCGGCGCGGUAAGUCGGGUGUGAAAUCUCGGGGCUUAACUCCGAAACUGCAUUCGAUACUGCCGUGCUUGAGGACUGGAGAGGAGACUGGAAUUUACGGUGUAGCGGUGAAAUGCGUAGAUAUCGUAAGGAAGACCAGUGGCGAAGGCGGGUCUCUGGACAGUUCCUGACGGCUGGAGGCACGAAGGCCAGGGGAGCAAAACGGG